rnacentral:tRNA from 1 species
GCGGAUGUAGCGCAGCUGGAUAGAGUACCUGGCUACGAACCAGGCGGUCGGAGGUUCGACUCCUCCCAUCCGCACCA